UCUUCAUUUCACGUGCUCUCUCACCGGUCAGAGAGGCGAGAGAGUGUGUGAAACGAAGAGA
rfam:Pristionchus pacificus strain PS312 contig5996, whole genome shotgun sequence.